CUUUUGGACAUUUUCUGGAGCUGCCUUUAAACCACAGCUUAUGCUGUCAAUGACUGCAGCCAUGGCAUGUUGCAUUUCUUUAGUCGACUUGGUUGCCACAAGAAUGUCAUCCACUGUAUGGGAACUGUUGAAUCACGACCUGAACCUCUGAUGGAUCACCUGAGGCAAGCACUGAGUCAGCUGUGGGAGCACAGGUGAAGGCAAUUCACCUUUGUGACCAGAAGGGGUGGAGCCUGUCUCUACCUUUCCUAGACCCCAUUUAAGGGCUGACUGCCACUGGGAAAGGAUCUCUUUCUCGAGAUUGCUCCCUUUGGAGUUUUUCUGCAAGCCUAAGACAUGGGUAAGCACUUGCAUUUAUUUUUGAUCAUCCCUUUCCACCUUGAUAAUCCUUCUAGUUAUGUGACGUGUAAAAUACCAGCCUAACCACACCACUCUGCCAAUUGUAUAUUUGCUGAUCGUGCAUCCAUGUAAUGAUAACAGUAUUAAACAGUUUUUGCCUCUCAGGGGUUAAGGCUCUGGCAACAAACUGUUGACAGAUCAUGGGGCUAUUUUUCAUGCCCUGAGCUAAUACCGUCCAAUGAUACCGCUGGGUUUGUGCUGACACAUUUACAGAAGGGACAGAAAAAGCAAACUGAAGAGCAUCAUUGGGAUUCAAGGGGAUGUUGAGAAAGCAGUCUUUUAAGUCAAUAGUGAGCCAGGCACCAUGAGCAAUCACAGUCACAUCAGAGCCUGUGUCCAAAAUCCCUGAAAUGUCAGAUCUUUGUGGGGGGUUGCCCGAUUCCAGCAUACAGGCUAAGGUAUGUUGAGCAUCUGAGACCUUUUAGGUCCAUAAUAUCUGAGGGGCCCCUGUAGACUCAACCCCUGUACCCCCCCUGUUCACAGAUGCAGCUGGCACCAACUUUGCCCAAAAGUAAACCAGUUGAGCAAUAUUAGCACCUGCUGGUACUUCACAUGGAGGCAUGGAUGUCCAGAGCAUAAUUUUAAUCUCUCCAGUAUAAUCAGCAUCUAUAAGUCCAGGUAACACAAAAAGACCUUGCACUGUGGCUGAUGAACGUCCUAAAAGCAAAGCGCUCAGACCAUUUCCCAACGGACCAUUUACCCUGGUAGCCACUGCUCACAGUAAUGUGCAAUCAAGGGUUACUGGUUCAGAGGUGGCCAGGUCCACUCCCUUGCUGCCACGGGUCCUGGCGUAUAUGUGGGGGACGUUGGAAUCGGUUGUGGUGUUGAUGUCCGUGCUGGGGCUACUUGUGCUGUUACGCGCCUCCACCGCACGUUCCGACUCCCGUUUCCCUGCACGAACUGCCCGUCCUCUACAGUACCUCGAACAGGCUCCCAGUCCUGGGGUCCUCGGACCUAUUUAUUAGUACAGUCUCAGCUUACAUGACCUGAUUGUUUGCACGCGAAGCAGUUUCAUGAAUUCCAUUUCAUGACUGCGUCGCGGCGAACGAUGAGGAGGGGGAGCUGAGGACAGCUGUGGGGCAACAACCCGGAGUGGACCGCGGCCGAACGGAUGCGGGCGCCUCCCAGUGGCGGCGGCGCUCUCCGGGGGGCCGCGAUUUUCCUUCUCCCCGGCCGGGAGCGGGGUUGGAGUCGUGACUCGGAUCCCGGCAGGAGCUGCUUCCCGCGGCGGGGAGUGCGAUGGGGAACGGUCCGAAGAAUUUGUCCUUCCUCGUUGAAUUUCUUUGAGCACUUUCGAUAUUUGGCGCGAAACAGGCAAAAGUUUAUCAGCUGUUUUAUCUUCAGGAAAAGGAGUCGGGUUCUUUCUCCGUGUCGACGGGCCCGGGAUCCAGCGGAUUCUAUGACCCAUCCCGCCGAUUGUUUAAGGUCGCGCCUAACGACGGAGGCGCCGCAGAUUCUGCCGAGCCUGCCGAACUGGUUGUGGAGUGUUGGCAUUCUGUGAUCUAUGAAGUUGCUACUGCAAAAGUGUCUCACAUCUUGAGAUGACUUAGGAAUCGUACGUGAGCUGGAAAUGCUGCUUAAAUUGAGGAAAUAUUUACAACUAACACAAGGUAUUUGUGCAUUAAACUAUUUCAGUAUUCCAAUAAAAGGAGAUGUCUG
rnacentral:lncRNA from 1 species